UAGGGAUUAAGGCGAGGAUAAUUGAAACGAAGUACAUCACAAAGACAUUAAAAUUAAAAAGUGGAAAUAGAAGACGAAGACGAAGACGAAGAAGAAGAGAACAG